rnacentral:rRNA from 1 species
GACGAACGCUGGCGGCGUGCUUAACACAUGCCAGUCGAACGAAAAGAGGGAAAGAGCUUGCUCUUUCCGGAAUUGAGUGGCAAACGGGUGAGUAACACGUAAACAACCUGCCUUCAGGAUGGGGACAACAGACGGAAACGACUGCUAAUACCGAAUAAGUUCCAAGGGCCGCAUGGCCCAUGGAAGAAAAGGUGGCCUCUACCUGUAAGCUAUCGCCUGAAGAGGGGUUUGCGUCUGAUUAGCUGGUUGGAGGGGUAACGGCCCACCAAGGCGACGAUCAGUAGCCGGUCUGAGAGGAUGAACGGCCACACUGGAACUGAGACACGGUCCAGACUCCUACGGGAGGCAGCAGUGGGGAAUCUUCCGCAAUGGGCGAAAGCCUGACGGAGCAACGCCGCGUGAGUGAUGACGGCCUUCGGGUUGUAAAACUCUGUGAUCCGGGACGAAAAGGCAGAGUGCGAAGAACAAACUGCAUUGACGGUACCGGAAAAGCAAGCCACGGCUAACUACGUG